CCAGGUGGCACCGGAGGUCCUUACUGUCCCUCAGCAUCUGCGCCCGGGUGCAGGGGUGGGCGGGGGCCUGGAGGUGCCCAGCACCCACAGAGCCGUGCCCUGCAGGAGAUCGUGGUGGGCAGCAACAUGGACAAGAUCUACAUCGUGAUGAACUACGUGGAGCACGACCUCAAGAGCCUCAUGGAGACUAUGAAACAGCCCUUCCUGCCAGGGGAGGUGAAGACCCUGAUGAUCCAGCUGCUGCGGGGGGUGAAGCACCUGCACGACAACUGGAUCCUGCACCGUGACCUCAAGACGUCCAACCUGCUGCUGAGCCACGCCGGCAUCCUCAAGGUGAGCCCCCCUCCGAGUGGCCCACCCCAGGGUGACCUGCGCGGGCCCACCCACAGCCGCCCAUCUGUCAUUGCAGGUGGGUGACUUCGGGCUGGCACGGGAGUACGGAUCCCCUCUGAAGGCC
rnacentral:sRNA from 1 species